CAGAAUCAGACCCACAAAAUGAAGAAGCACCAAAUAAAUUCAAAACCACCAAUCUCAUUCAUUUAUGCAUGAUCAAAUCGCUUUUAGUCCCAUGAUUCCUUUGCACUCAACGCCAACAACUCCUCCAAAAUCUCCAUCUUAUCAUCAACAUCACCAUCACCAUCACCACCAAAUUCUUCAUCACCGCUAGUAUCAGUAUCCCCAUCAUCGCUAGCAUCAGUAUCCCAAUCAUCAUCAGAAGGCUAUAUUCCUCGUCUUCACCACUUGAAGGCUCAUACUCCUCGUCUUCACCACUUGAAUCCCAAUAUACAGAGGGGAAAUCCAAAGCCUCCCCCUCCACUUCCUCAAAUAAACAUGUCUUCCUCACCCGGGUUUCUCAGGGCUCUGCAUGGCGAGAACGGUCUGCAACCUCUCCUUCAACAUUAGGGUUUCGCUCACUGCGAUGGCCUUCUUCUUUGGGAGCCUGCAACCUUCGACGGCCUCCAUGUCGUGUAUGAGGUUGUGUAUGGCUGCUGCAUACGCUUGGUCCUCGGUUUUGUAUACUCCAUGAACCGAGUCUUUGUUGGUGCCCUGGUGGAGCCUAACCAGGAUAUAAGCGGGCGAGGGUUCGGCCAGGCCCGGUGAUGGGCUCAGCUCAUGGGCCACCAUUUACCUUAUUUUCUCUUGCCUGUCAAGUGAGAGAGAGGGAACUAACGCGUACUGUGUAGAGAGAGAGAGCAAGGGUUUUGUAGUGAGCACUGCAGAGGUUUUGGAGUGGGGUCGAGACCGUUGG
rnacentral:lncRNA from 1 species